AUCCAGCUCCUAAUUUAUGGUCAUUUCUCUGCUGGGCUCUCCUUUAGGUUCUGAGAGGUGCCAGGAACCACCAGUGGAGGUCACAGCACAUCCAACCCUUCUGGAAGCAGCCGAGGAGCCGAAGAGUCGGGGCCUCCAAAGAGGGAAAAGUCUCGCCAGCUGCUCCUGGACAGGAGACCACCGUCCACCACACACUAACAGCUGAAGAGAAUGCGGCUGCCCCGGGGGAAGGGGCCCAGAAAACAGCGAGCACAGAACAGACGGAAGCUUCUCAGGAGCGUGAGUGGCCAGCGGGCUCCUGGAAAGCGGUUAUGGCCUCUGUCCUGAAAGAACCGGUUCGGCCCGCGGGGUCCCUGCCUGCUUGGCCGGAAUGGUCUUCAUCCACCUGGACACCACAGUGCCCUGCUGUGGGAUGAGGCCGAGAGAACGGAGACCACACUUGCAUCCCCAAAGAGCACUGCAGGGCCAGAGCUGAGACCUGCAGACACUGACAGACAGACAGACGGGGGCAGAUGGGAAGGGGUCCAGGAGACAGGGCAUGGCAUGGAGGGGUCUAAAUGGAGGUAAGUUGCUUAAUCUUGCUCCAGAUUCCUUUUUCAAGCUGGAUGUGGUGGCACACACCUGUAAUCCCAGCAUUCGGGAGGCUGAGGCGGGAGGAUGGCUGUGAGUUCCAGGCCAGCCUGCACUACGUGGGCGAGACCAAGACCAAGUCCCCUUUUCCAGUAAGUGGGAAAGCCUCCCCCCCAUCCACACCUUCCGCUCCACAGCGCACGAUUCAGGGACACAGUGACCAAAGCCGAGCACAAGCUCUGAAGCCCCCGACUUCAGAGAAGCGCGGGGGCUGGGGUGCAGCCCAGCUGUGCAGGGCUCGCUCAGCCCGCAGGAGGCCCGGGUUCGGCCCCCAGCACCGCAGAAUAACCGGACAUCAGGUGAAUGAAUGAAUAAAUGGCAGCAUUAUUUUUUUUCUCUUGAAACACUCAAAAUAUGGCUCAACAACGUAAACCCUCACUCGGGGACACGCACCUUUGUGGGGCUUUCUGUGCUUCCUGGCUGGCAGGGCUAACCAGGGAGAGGGGGGUCCAGGGCACUGAGCAAACAGACAGAAGAAACUGCGCCCCUCUGGGGUUCCCCAAAGUCCAGUCUCCACGGCACCCAGGCUGUGGCACCUGCAAAGCGACUGUGUGUGGGGACCCCUGGACUCCACGGCACCCGGCUUCCUGUCCCGGAAACGUCCCAGCAGGUGCAGAUGACCUCAUAGUGACCAACGCGAAGCCCAUUGCCAAGGCCGUGAACGACAAGGCCUGCAGCUACCUGCUGCUCCCAGUUGACUGGCUGACAGUGUCCCUGCAGGUGUGCGAGCUGGUGCACCCCAGCAGUGUCAGGCUGCCACAUGGUCCGAGAGGUGGAGGAGAGGACCCCUUCAUCUCUGGCGGAUCAAGACUGGCGCACCAUGCAACCCAAGCACCUGGUCAGGUGCAGCCAGAGCCUCAGAACUGAGGGGCUGGGGGCUGGGGGUAGCAAGGCCCAGUUCACCAGCCAGAACUUCAGAAAUCCCUGGGCAAGGAGGCAGAGACAGACCAGCACCCAGGCCAUGGCGCCUGGUAGUCAGGUCCCUGCCUGCCACCACUUCUAUAGACACCAGCGGGGCAAAGGGGAGCCCGUGACCCCAGCUCUCCCGGCUCCCACAGCGCCCAGAACUGUGUGAGCCCCAGGCUGGGUUCCCAGUGGUUCUGCUGCUAAAUAAACGCCCCAGGGCCCAAGGAGAACACAUUGUAUUAUAUCUCGGUCAGCUUCUCCAGGAUUGAGCUGAACUCUGAGUCUCUUGGAGUCAGCUCACUCAGCUGGACUCUUCCGUGUCACCCAGGCCUUCAGCUUACAUGUUGAGAUGCAGAAUCUAAAAGUCGCAGUGCAACCUGCAUGUGCUGAA
ensembl:lincRNA